GGUAGCAGAGUGUCAGGGACUCCAGCUCGAUUCACUGAUGGCAGGGAUGGAACCAACUACAUGCUGAAAAUCAGUGGGGUGCAGGCAGAAGAUGCAGGAGAUUAUUACUGUCAGCAGCACUACGGGUCAUACACUUUUGGCGGCGGCACCAGACUGGACAUUGGAAGCAACACCCGCCCAACGGUCACGGUCCUCCCCCCCUCUAGCGCAGAGCUGUCCACUCAUAAGAAGGCCACGCUGAUGUGCCUGGCCAACAAGGGCUUCCCCUCAGACUGGAAGCUGCGCUGGAAGGUGGACGGUAGCAGCAAGAGCUCGGAGGAGAGCGGCGGGGUCCUGGAGAAGGACGGCCUGUACAGCUGGAGCAGCACCCUGACUCUCACGGCAGACGAGUGGGCCAGGGCAGGGUCACUGACCUGCGAGGCCACCCAGGGCUCCCAGACAACAGUUACUCAGACGCUGCAGAGAUCCGAUUGCUCUGGGUAG